GCCGUACCUAGCCCCAAACCUAAUAAAAUACAACUAUCAUAAACCAACUAAAACAAAACAUUUAUUACAUUACUAAAGUAUAGGAGAUAGAAAUUCUAAUAGGGCGCUAUAGAGAAAGUACCGCAAGGGAACGAUGAAAGAAGAUACCAAAGCAACAAACAGCAAAGUUUACCCCUUGUACCUUUUGCAUAAUGAUUUAACUAGAACAACCUAGCAAAGAGACCUUAAGUUAGCAACCCCGAAACCAGACGAGCUAUUUAUGAGCAGCUUUACAGAGCAAACUCAUCUAUGUAGCAAAAUAGUGAAAAGACUUAUAAAUAGAGGUGACAAGCCUACCGAGCCUGGUGAUAGCUGGUUGUCCAGAAAAGAACUUCAGUUCAACUUUAAGCCUACCUAACAAACUUCCAAUUCAACUGUAGACUUAAAACAUAGUCUGAAAGGGAACAGCCCUUCAGACACAGACUACAACCUUAUCUAGAGAGUAAGUAUAAAUACCAAACCAUAGUUGGCCUAAAAGCAGCCACCAAUAAAGAAAGCGUUCAAGCUCAACAACUCUAAUCAUCUCAAUUCCAAAAAAACUACCAACUCCUAGAAUUAAAACUGGACUAUUCUAUAACUAUAUAGAGAAAAUACUGUUAAUAUGAGUAACAAGAAUCUAAUUCUCCACGCAUAAGUGUAUAUCAAAACGAAUACCCAUUGAUAGUUAACGUAUACAAAGCAAGCCAAACAACAAGCUCUUUACCCACCCAACGUUAACCCAACACAGGAAUGCCUACUUUAAAGGAAAGAUCAAAAAGAGUAAAAGGAACUCGGCAAACACGAAUCCCGCCUGUUUACCAAAAACAUCACCUCUAGCAUCACAAGUAUUAGAGGCCCUGCCUGCCCAGUGACAUACGUUUAACGGCCGCGGUAUCCUGACCGUGCAAAGGUAGCAUAAUCACUUGUUCUCUAAAUAAGGACUUGCAUGAACGGCCACACGAGGAUUCUACUGUCUCUUACUCCCGAUCAGUGAAAUUGACCUUCCCGUGAAGAGGCGGGAAUAUUAAAAUAAGACGAGAAGACCCUAUGGAGCUUUAAUUAAUUAACCUAAGAGCAACACAUUAAUAACCAAAAGGAAUAAACUAACCUCAAAUAGGUUAACAAUUUAGGUUGGGGUGACCUCGGAGCACAAAACACCCUCCGAGCAAUUACAAGCCCAGACCCACAAGUCAAAGCACACUACACAUAUUGAUCCAAAACUUUUGAUCAACGAAACAAGUUACCCUAGGGAUAACAGCGCAAUCCUAUUUAAGAGUCCAUAUCGACAAUAGGGUUUACGACCUCGAUGUUGGAUCAGGACAUCCUAAUGGUGCAACAGCUAUUAAAGGUUCGUUUGUUCAACGAUUAAAGUCCUACGUGAUCUGAGUUCAGACCGGAGUAAUCCAGGUCGGUUUCUAUCUAUUCUAUGCCUCUCCCAGUACGAAAGGACAAGAGAGACAAGGCCCCCUUAACACAAGCGCCUUCCAGCCUAACAGAUAACCUAACAUCAAUCUGAUAUGCUGUAAACACAUAACCCCUAGACAAGGGCU
rnacentral:rRNA from 1 species